AGAUGGUUGGCCGAGUGGUCUAAGGCGCCAGAUUUAGGCUCUGGUCCGAAAGGGCGUGGGUUCAAAUCCACACCAAAUG
rnacentral:tRNA from 1 species